AUUUAUCAAUAAUUUAUCAAUAUCUGUCACAGAAAUUUAUCUUUAACUAAGGAAAAGUAUUAAAUAAUUUGGAACAUUAAAAUCAAUGCUUCAACGAUGAUUUCUCUUCAAAUGAUGAAUCCAGUUAAAUAUUAAAUUAUCAAUAAUUUAUCAAUAUCUGUCACAGAAAUUUAUCUUUAACUAAAGAAAAGUAUCAAAUAAUUUGGACCAUUAAAAUCAAUGCUUCAACGAUGGUAAAUUAAUAAUAACAAUUUCUAAAAGAAAAUAUUAAUUGGAAAAAUAAAUUUAUUAAAUUGAGAAGAGAAUCAUGAAGGUGAAAAGUCAAUGGGAAGGCAAUAAAAAAUGUUACCAAUAAAAAUCCAUCAAAGGGAAGUGAACGGAGGUUGUAGGAGAAGAUCAUGAUGCGCGAUAUCGGCGAUCAGUGAACGCUUAUUCCGUUUCCGGUUCCGGUUCGUCGAGCCACAUCACUUUCCCAUGAAAUGAUCUCGCCUCCACGAGCAAAGCCUUUAUAUCGACUUGGCGAUUCGAAAAGAAUCGCUGCCCCACCCUUUCAGUUUCGAUUGACACGCAAGCGAGUAUCUGUGAGGAGUCAGUGAACAGAAGAGGGAAAUCCUUUCUGAAAAUGAAUCUGAAAGAAAAUUUGAAGAUAAAAAAAUUUCAUCGCCGUGUAAACAAUAUUUAACUUUCAACUUUUAUUGGAACAGAGAUGAUUAGAGUGUGAUGGAUAAUGGAUAAUAUAAAAGGAAAUAUCUUGUGCGAGGAAAUUAUCUACAAUUAUUAUAAAUAGAUCUAAUAUAUUCGAUUGUGAAAUUCGCAAGAGGCGUGGAGAAUCGCAACAUUAUGAAAUAGCGAAAAACAAGAGCAAGCUCUUGUACAACAGCAAACUUACGUGUACAAUUUAUCCUCUGCAUUCUUCAUAUUUAUAAAAUACUGAUGCUGACUGGAAUUAGCCACGACAGUAUAAUUGAUUCUAGAUUGUCUGGCCAAUUGUUCCAAAGAUUGCACAGGAGACUACAAACAACACACAAUAUUAAUUCUCAUUUUGAGGAUCAAAAGUAAGGAAAGCAGCUAAGUUAGCAGUGAACGUAGCCAACAUUAAAACAACGAAUAACCAAUAAGCAGCAACUAGUAUCCUGCUUGAUAACGCUUUGGGUGCCUCGCCGCCACCUUGGGGUGUAAAAGACGUC
rnacentral:lncRNA from 1 species